AGUAUCUAGAAAAUAAAUUUUAUGACAUUUUACGAUAUCAUUUGCCUAGUGAACGAAGGGGCUCAAAAUCAACGGCUGAAAAUAAAAAUCUUACAAAAUGUAAUAAUAUGACAUUAAAAUUUUAAAUCAAAGAUAUUGAUCUUGUUUUAUAUAGUAUAAAGAAUUUUUUAUCAAAAUUUCACGUGAUUUGGAUAUUUCUACACCGUUAAACUUGCAAACGGCUUACUACGGCCAUUGAAAUUUGUUGAUUUUGAGCCCAUUCGAUCACUAGGCAAAUGAUAUCGAAAAAUAAUAAAAUUUAUUUUCUAGGUACUCCAAAUACUCUAGAUCAAGUUUAACGGAGCCGAUCGACGAUUCGAAAGUCGCAACAUCGAAAACGAGCUGGAAGCACGGAAGGCUCCGUGCUUCUGAUAGCAUAGUAGCCUCACUCUAUAUAUAUAUAUAUGGUGUAGAGCUACUAUACUAUCGGAAGUGUAAAGGAUUUGAAACUUUCGAUUUUUUGAUCCUUGGAUCAAGGAUUAUACGGUUGGGAUGAUUGCGGUCCCCCUAGGGUCGAGUAGUAUCUCUAGGGUUGAGUAGUCCUUACUGGGUAAUAGUAUUAAUCCAAAGGUUAAAAAAUAAUCAAAGGGGCUGAUCUAAGGGUCAAAAAGUCGGAAGCACCAGAUUAUCUAUGCUUCCGAUAGUAUAGUAACUCUACUAUAUAUA
rnacentral:lncRNA from 1 species